rnacentral:rRNA from 1 species
UACAGAGGUCUCAAGCGUUGUUCGGAUUCAUUGGGCGUAAAGGGCGCGUAGGCGGCCACGCACGUCCGUUGUGAAAUCGCCCGGCUCAACUGGGCGGGGUCGGCGGAUACGGCGUGGCUGGAGCAAGCUAGGGGGCAAUGGAAUUCCCGGUGUAGUGGUGGAAUGCGUAGAUAUCGGGAGGAACACCAGUGGCGAAGGCGGUUGCCUGGAGCUUUGCUGACGCUGAGGCGCGAAAGCGUGGGGAGCGAUCCGG